UACGUAGGUGGCAAGCGUUGUCCGGAUUUAUUGGGCGUAAAGCGCGCGCAGGCGGUCCUUUAAGUCUGAUGUGAAAUCUUGCGGCUCAACCGCAAGCGGUCAUUGGAAACUGGGGGACUUGAGUACAGAAGAGGAAAGCGGAAUUCCACGUGUAGCGGUGAAAUGCGUAGAGAUGUGGAGGAACACCAGUGGCGAAGGCGGCUUUCUGGUCUGCUCUUGACGCUGAGGCGCGAAAGCUAGGGUAGCAAACGGG
rnacentral:rRNA from 1 species